UACGGGGGGAGCAAGCGUUGUUCGGAUUUACUGGGCGUAAAGGGCGCGUAGGCGGUCAGCACAAGUCAGUUGUGAAAUCUCCGGGCUUAACUCGGAAAGGUCAACUGAUACUGUGCGACUAGAGUGCAGAAGGGGCAACUGGAAUUCUCGGUGUAGCGGUGAAAUGCGUAGAUAUGCGGAGGAACACCGAUGGCGAAGGCAGCCCCCUGGGCUAGCACUGACGCUCAGGCACGAAAGCGUGGGGAGCAAACAGG
rnacentral:rRNA from 1 species